rnacentral:misc_RNA from 1 species
AUUGAAACAUCCCAUCUUCUCUUUAAACCUUCGUCAAAAGUACCAUUUAAGAGGAGGUCCGACCAUUUUGAUCAUAGAUUCUCUCCCUGCUUCUUUUCUGCCUCCGAUUAUGGAGUCAUAGUACCCCUUUUGGAUAAGAUUUUUUUAGUUUGUAUAAAGAAGCGUUGUCUGUUGGAAAUGGCUUCCCCUAAUGUUUGCUAUGAAGUUUCUCGGAACAGAUUUGGCUAGCAGUUACAAAGGUAUCCUCAAUUCGCGGAAA